CUUACACAUGCAGUCGAGGGGUAGCGGGGGGCGGUGACGCCCCGCCGACGACCCCCCUAAAAGUGAGUAACACGUAUCCAACCUUCCGUUCACUCGCCUAUAGGCUCCUGAAAGGGAGAUUAAUACCCGAUAGUAUGACAAGUCCGCAUGCUCUUGUCAUUAAAGAUAUCUCGGUGUUCGAUGGGGAUGCGCUCCAUUAGCUUGUUGGCGGGGUAACGGCUCGCCAAGGCUUCGAUGGAUAGGGGUUCUGAGAGGAAGGUCCCCCACACUGGAACUGAGACACGGUCCAGACUCCUACGGGAGGCAGCAGUGAGGAAUAUUGGUCAAUGGGCGAUAGCCUGAACCAGCCAAGUAGCGUGAAGGAUGAAGGUUCUAUGGAUCGUAAACUUCUUUUAUAAAGGAAUAACAUGGGGCACGCGUGCCUUUUUGCAUGUACUUUAUGAAUAAGGAUCGGCUAACUCCGUGCCAGCAGCCGCGGUAAUACGGAGGAUCCUAGCGUUAUCCGGAUUUAUUGGGUUUAAAGGGUGCGUAGGCUGGUUUUUAAGUCAGCCGUGAAAUUUCGGGGCUCAACCUUGAAAUCGCGGUUGAUACUGUUAGCCUUGAGUAUAGUGGAAGUCGGCGGAAUUCGUGGUGUAGCGGUGAAAUGCUUAGAUAUCACGAGGAACUCCGUUCGCGAAGGCGGCCGGCUAUACUUUUACUGACGCUGAUGCACGAGAGUGUGGUUAUCAAACAGGAUUAGAUACCCUGGUAGUCCACACCGUAAACGAUGAAUACUCGUUGUUCGCGAUACACCGCGAGCGACCAAGCGAAAGCGUUAAGUAUUCCACCUGGGGAGUACGCCGGCAACGGUGAAACUCAAAGGAAUUGACGGGGGCCCGCACAAGCGGAGGAACAUGUGGUUUAAUUCGAUGAUACGCGAGGAACCUUACCCGGGCUUGAAUUACGCUCGAAUAGGCUUGAAAGGGCCUAGCCGCGAGGCGAGCGUGAAGGUGCUGCAUGGUUGUCGUCAGCUCGUGCCGUGAGGUGUCGGCUUAAGUGCCAUAACGAGCGCAACCCUAAUCGUCAGUUGCUAGCAGGUAAGGCUGAGGACUCUGUCGAGACUGCCGUCGUAAGAUGCGAGGAAGGCUGGGAUGACGUCAAAUCAGCACGGCCCUUACGUCCGGGGCUACACACGUGUUACAAUGGGGGGCACAACGGGUCGCUGCCUGGUGACAGGUGGCUAAUCCUAAAAACCUCUCUCAGUUCGGAUCGAAGUCUGCAACCCGACUUCGUGAAGCUGGAUUCGCUAGUAAUCGCGCAUCAGCCACGGCGCGGUGAAUACGUUCCCGGGCCUUGUACACACCGCCCGUCAAGCCAUGGGAGCCGGGGGUGCCUGAAGCGCGUGACCGCAAGGAUCGUCCUAGGGGAAAAAACCCGGAUGGGG
rnacentral:rRNA from 1 species